CCCCUCCCUUCCCGCCUGACACUCAAGGCCAUCCUGGACCCAUGGACUCCAGGACCUUGCGGGGAGGGAGACCCUCGCUUGUGCUGGGCCCUGCAUUUCCCAGCGGGGGCUGAGGGUCCCGCAGGCCUGCAGGACAGAUGCUGCAGGCCUCAGGUGGACGGCUGCCCCUCCUCCCCGAGUGCUCAUAGCCAGUCUGCAAGGGCCUGGUGGGGCAGAGCCCGUGGCUUCAGGAGCAGCUGUCUCAGCUGCUGGUCUCCCACAGUGACCCAGUCACGGCCGCCCAGUGUGCCAUGGAACUCUUGCUGCCCGAGGAGCGGCUGCCGGCUGCGGUGGCUGUGGAACUCCGCCGGUUCAGGCUCCAGGGGAGGGCGACUGAGGCUGACUCGAGGCUGGAGGUGAAGGACAUGAAGGACCGUUACUACCAGCUGCCCAUCCCCAGGGAGAACGUCCACCUCCUGGCCUCGUGGGAAGACCUGACCAGACACGAGGGUGCACUCCUGCAGUGCCACCAAGUGGUUGGUGUAGACGUGGAGUGGACACCUGUGUUUGUUGCUGG
rnacentral:lncRNA from 1 species